UGGGGAAUAUUUCACAAUGGGCGCAAGCCUGAUGCAGCCAUGCCGCGUGUAUGAAGAAGGCCUUCGGGUUGUAAAGCACUUUCAGCGGGGAGGAAGGCGUUAAGGUUAAUAACCUUGGCGAUUGACGUUACCCGCAGAAGAAGCACCGGCUAACUCCGUGCCAGCAGCCGCGGUAAUACGGAGGGUGCAAGCGUUAAUCGGAAUUACUGGGCGUAAAGCGCACGCAGGCGGUCUGUCAAGUCGGAUGUGAAAUCCCCGGGCUCAACCUGGGAACUGCAUUAGAAACUGGCAGGCUAGAGUCUUGUAGAGGGGGGUAGAAUUCCAGGUGUAGCGGUGAAAUGCGUAGAGAUCUGGAGGAAUACCGGUGGCGAAGGCGGCCCCCUGGACGAAGACUGACGCUCAGGUGCGAAAGCGUGGGGAGCAAACAGG
rnacentral:rRNA from 1 species